UGCACCUUUUAAUUAAGUCCAGAGAGACUUAAAAGGGUGUUACUGCGCAAGAAAAAGCGGAAGCGGACGAAUGCGCCGAGAUAAAGUACUUCCUUCCCCUUUUUUAUACGCAAACAGCGUAACACCCUGUCGACUGGACAGGGUGUUUUUUAUG
rfam:Geobacillus sp. Y4.1MC1, complete genome.